UGAGUGUUACAGAUCUUAAGGUGGCACGUC
rnacentral:piRNA from 1 species